UUAAGUAUUUCUUGUCAAAAGAGAGAUUUUCUGUCCUUUCAAUUUCUAAGGCCUUAGAAAAAUGGAGAACUCUUCAUUCUUUUUCUGUCCACUGAGAAAUUCUGUAAGAAAGAAAUUAUAUACCUCUGGUGUUGUGUGGAUGGUCAUUCAGAGAUAUUUUAUGUAAUUCCUGAU